CCUACGGGAGGCUGCAGUGAGGAAUAUUGGUCAAUGGACGAGAGUCUGAACCAGCCAAGUAGCGUGAAGGAUGACUGCCCUAUGGGUUGUAAACUUCUUUUAUAUGGGAAUAAAAUGUUCCACGUGUGGGAUUUUGUAUGUACCAUAUGAAUAAGGAUCGGCUAACUCCGUGCCAGCAGCCGCGGUAAUACGGAGGAUCCGAGCGUUAUCCGGAUUUAUUGGGUUUAAAGGGAGCGUAGGUGGAUUGUUAAGUCAGUUGUGAAAGUUUGCGGCUCAACCGUAAAAUUGCAGUUGAAACUGGCAGUCGUGAGUACAGUAGAGGUGGGCGGAAUGCGUGGUGUAGCGGUGAAAUGCUUAGAUAUCACGAAGAACUCCGAUUGCGAAGGCAGCUCACUGGACUGCAACUGACACUGAGGCUCGAAAGUGUGGGUAUCAAACAGGAUUAGAUACCCGUGUAGUC
rnacentral:rRNA from 1 species